rnacentral:rRNA from 1 species
CAGCACCGCGGGAAUACGUAGGGUGCAAGCGUUAAUCGGAAUUACUGGGCGUAAAGCGUGCGCAGGCGGUUCGCUAAGACAGAUGUGAAAUCCCCGGGCUUAACCUGGGAACUGCGUUUGUGACUGCAAAGCUAGAGUGCGGCAGAGGGGGAUGGAAUUCCGCGUGUAGCAGUGAAAUGCGUAGAUAUGCGGAGGAACACCGAUGGCGAAGGCAAUCCCCUGGGCCUGCACUGACGCUCAUGCACGAAAGCGUGGGGAGCAAACAGGAUUAGAUACCCCUGUAGUCCCUGUCUCUUAUACC